rnacentral:lncRNA from 10 species
AGACACUGAUGGAACUGUCACAUGGGACCCUUCUCUGGGCUGUCUGAUAGUCUGCAGAGACACAGCUGCUUCCGUGCUCUAGGAGAGAGGGACUCCUUGGAGAUCUGAUCUCACUAGUAGUCGUAAUUCUUUGGAUGGGCUCAGUUUGUACUGCUUCAUCCUUUGGAUUCUAGAAAUUCUCAGGACUCAUCCAGAGAAGGAAUCAGCCAGAAGAUCCUAUGAAGACAAGAUCAAACCAAACACGCUGUGUUCGCCCCAGUUUUAAUAAGAAAUCUGACUGAAAACAAAUGGUUGAAUGUGCUGCUAACAGAGAGGGCCAAACGAUGAUGUCUAUUGUGGCAGCUGAACAAAGUGAGACUUACAGAACUGGAACUGCUGCCCUGACAGCAACUGAAGCAGAAAGAGAAGAAAGGAGCUUACAACCAGGACACUCAAACUCAGGCCAGGAGUCCGUCUAUGAUCCAAUUCCAAUCAGUCUGACAAGUCACUCUGAUCCAGCACGAUUAUCCUAUGCACAUGUUUUUUAAAGAACAAAAAAGGAAGUUUCGAGUUGGUAUGUGUGUUUUUUAAAGACACAAACCACAUCCUCUUUCUAUUCAAUUAAAUUCAAGGGAAAGGAAUUUUGGUCUUUAUAAUCAAGGGCGAUUAUAACCAACAGUGUGUCAUGGAAAUGCAAAAUGACUACAGAGCAAUUGACAGCAGCAUCUUCUGUAUUCUCUCCAUAUUAAACCUGUUCUUUUUUUUUUUUUGAGACGGAGUCUUGCUCUUAUCCCCCAGGUGGAGUGCAAUGGCGCGACCUCGGCUCACUGCAACCUCUGCCUUCCGGGUUUAAGCGAUUGUCCUGCCUCAGCCUCCUGAGUAGCUGGGAUUACAGGUGCCUGCCACCAUGCCCGGCUAAUUUUUGUAUUUUUAGUAGAGACGGGGUUUCACCAUGUUGGCCAGGCUGGUCUCGAACUCCUGACCUCAGGUGAUCUGCCCGCCUCGGCCUCCCAAAGUGCUGGGAUUACAAGUAUGAGCCACCGUGCCUGGCCUAAAACUGUUCUUAUGCUGACUCUAUCACUUAUUGAAUCAAAGUUGGCAUUAAUUUCACUUUAUAGUUUAAUUAACUAUAAACACUAACAUUUUAAAAAUUAAGCAACUUUGUCUAAAUUGGAGUCUUUGUCAUUAAUGUGUAUUUAGACACUGGUAAAUGUUUUUAAGUCUGCUUCUGUUGUCUAUAAACAUGACUUUUGAUCUACAAACAUCUGAUAUUUCAUUACCUGGAUGAUUCGGACCAACCUAGUCGCUUCCAAAAACAGGAUUUUAGUUCAUCUUGAUGAAAUAUAAGAGGAAGGAAAAAACAACAUGAUUAAUUUCUAGGUCAAAGGGUGCCAGUAUUCAUAUUAGUGCUCCCUCUAAUUUAGAGUAGACUGUUUUACCUACAAUGGUUGUUAUAUUCUGCCAGAUAGACUCUUUCUAAAAACACAAUUAAUGGGCUUCCCCUCCUAACAUUCUAUAGUUUUCUGCCACAGCAAUGGGCGCUAAUGACACUAAUUCACAAAGUCCCUGUAUUAUCUUCUCAGUGAAAUCAAUACUAUUAAUAGCUAAAUGCCUACACGUUCUGGGCCCUGUGCAGUCAGGGUUCUGGAGGAAACAGAAUGUACCCACGGCUGGUUCAAAUAAAGAUCCUUAGUGAAGUGACUACAUACAGAGGUUUAUUUAGAGUUAAGGGAACAAACAAGGAAUGUCAAGGCAUCCAGUGAUUAGCAGCAGUGGGAAGCCUAAGUCUGAAGGAACUGAGUGUUGGAGAUGAGAGGUCAGUUACUAGACCUUAAUGAGAGCUGGAAUUGGGAAGAAUGGACUGCCUACAGAAGCCGCACUUGUGGAGAGACACCACUUCUACCAGGCACAAGGUGCUGAAGUAAGCAGUGAGGCAAAGUAAUACCCCAAAUUCUCUCUAGCCCCACUAAUCUUCUGCUGGGGCCUGUCAUUGGCAAACAGGAAGCCCAGGAGAUGCAGUCCACUAGGGUCAGCAUUCUGGGGCACAAAGCAGGGCAGAGAUGGGGAGAAUGAGAAGGAAAUCAGGAAGAGGUGAAAGGAAUACCAGAUGAUCUGAAAGAGUUAAAGUCUCUUACUUUCCUGAGUAGGAAGAACUUAAAUAUGGGAGAGCGUCAUUGUAAAGGGCAUAUCAGAAGCCUUCAAAAUCUAUCAAAAUAGUUUUAAAAUUAAGGUUAAUUUAUAAUUUUCACAUUACUUGUAGACUCCACUUAAAUUCCAUAAAAUAUGAUUUAUUACUGGAUUUUGAAGCAUCUAUGUGAGCUAAAUUUAAAACUCUUUGGAAGACGUUGGACAAUUAGAAG